AGGAGCCGUGUGAGGUGAAAACUCUCAGGCACGGUUUUGAAGACAAGUCGGAAAGGCGACUUUCCAGCUUAGUUUUAA
rnacentral:ncRNA from 1 species